AGCUCUUUGUCUGCGCCAACAAGCUACGUCCUAUGGGUCUCGGGACGAGACACAUAUGUGUUGGUGACGCCAUGCUCGCAGGAGUUGGACUUGGCGUUUAAGCCCGGGGUGAAACCAGGAGACAUGAGCGCGUAAUUAACGAACUCAGCGACACCAACGUGGCAGAGUGCGCGUUACCCUGUAGAAGCGGUCCCUGUGCAGCGCAUUUGAUGUAGUAGAAUGAGGAGCAGCAUGCGCAUACGUACUAACCUAUGGCAGCUGAAUACAGCCAUUAUUGCUGCCGGUUCUUGGCAGCCGGUACGUACCAACCCUUUCCCAGCCAUUCCCAUUCAGCUUCAGCUUGGCCGCUAUUUUAACGGGUAUUUCCAUGCUUUGACGAGGUUUGUUGUGUCCAUUGUGGUUCCC
rnacentral:lncRNA from 1 species